UUUAUUGAGAGUUUGAUCUUGGCUCAGGACGAACGCUGGCGGCGUGCCUAAUACAUGCAAGUCGAGCGCGGGAAGCAAACCGAUUCCUUCGGGAUGAAGUUUGUGGAACGAGCGGCGGACGGGUGAGUAACACGUGGGCAACCUACCUGUAAGACUGGGAUAACUCCGGGAAACCGGGGCUAAUACCGGAUAGA
rnacentral:rRNA from 1 species